UCUCGGGGUGUGCGAGAACACGUGGGCGGACGAGGAGAGAGCAGUAGGAGUAGCAGUGUUAUCUGUGGUGAUCCAUGUUUCCGUCAGUGCCAAGAAGUCAAGGGACUGGAGGGAGGCAUAGGCUGAGAUGAACUCUGCCUUGUUGGCCGCAGAUCGGCAGUUCCAGAGGCUACCGGAGACCUGGAACUCCACCUGGGUCGUACGCGCUGGGACCACCAGAUUAGGGUGGUCGCGGCCACGCGGUGUGGAGCGUUUGUAUGGUCUGUGCAGAGAGGAGAGAACAGGGAUAGACAGACACAUAGUUGACAGGCUACAGAAAAGGCUACGCUAAUGCAAGGAGAUUGGAAUGACAAGUGGACUACACGUCUCGAAUGUUCAGAAAGUUAAGCUUACGUAGCAAGAGUCUUAUUGACUAAAAUGAUUAAAAUGAUACAGUACUGCUAAAGUAGGCUCGCUGGCAGUGGCUGCGUUGUUGACACUACACUAAUCUGCAGACCUUAGAGAGCUUUUUUUGCUCACAAGUCACAAUGUGGAGCCUCCGUAUGCAGAGUACCUCCAAGUGGUGAACUAUGGGAUUGGAGGACACUAUGAACCUCAUUUUGACCAUGCAACUGUGAGUGUUUACUAGACACUUAUUACUAAAGUAAUAAACACUUAAACACUUCAUGCAAUAUUGAACCCUCAUUUUGUGUGUUAGUGUUGAGUGAUGGUCUGUGUCCCAAACAUCACCCUAUUUCCUAGUACAAGGGUUCCUAAACUUUUACACUCUUCCAGCAUUUUAUUUUAUUUAACUAGGCAGGUCAGUUAAGAACCAAAUUCUUAUUUACAAUGAUGGCCUAGGAACGGUGGGUUAACUGCCUUGUUCAGUGGCAGAACGACAGACUUGUACCUUGCCAGCUUGGGGAUUCGAUCUAGCAACCUUUUGGUUACUGACCCAACGCUCUAACCACGAGGCUACCUGUCACACCCCCUGCAUUUGAGAACGUCCCCCCCCCGUGCAUGCCACGUCUAUUUCUAUGGGCACAAGCCCUGUUCAUUGCGCAAACUGCUCACACCCCUCUUGCUGGCGGAGAGAACAUUUUGCAGGUUUUAAGCUUAUUUCCUGUAAUUAUACACAUCUUGUCUUGGCUGGAGAGAAAAUGUUGCCGUUUUAAAGGACAUUUUCUGGCAAUUCUGUAGAUUUUGCCAUGUCUAAUGUGUAUUCGUUUGAUAUUUGAGUGACUCGAACAUUAAUCCAAAAUCUAUGGACUAAAAAAUCUAGCUACAAAACGUUAGCUGACAUAGACUAGUUGAUCUGAACAUUUCUGACAGGAUAUAAAUAGCUCUCUAAGGUCUGCAAUAACUGACAUGACAAGAGGAAAACUACCCAAUUUUGAAAUUGCACCUUUUGCAUUCUAGUAUUACAACUUAUUUUGGGGAGGGGGACCCGUGCUCCCCGCCCCCCCUCUGCUGGACGCGCCCCACUGUUUGGGAACCACUGCCCUAGUACACUACUUUUGACCAGGGCUCAUAGUUCUCUGGUUGAAGGUAGUGCUCUGUAUAGGGGAAUAGGGUGCCAUUUGAGACAUAGCCAAGGUAAGGACAUGAUAUAUUUAUGUGUACUAUUUCCUUCAUGUAACCAGUCAGCAUCAAGCCCCCUUUUUAGGCUCAACACUGGGAAUCGAGUGGCAACCUUCAUGAUAUACGUAAGUGUUUUAUCUUGUUAUCCUGUUAUGUGCAUGCUUGUCUCAUUUGUGGAUAUACAGUAAAGGCAUCUUUGGUGAUACUGUACGCUAUAUUGCUUCAAUCAGAAUUAGAAUUCAGUAUUUUCUUAUUGAAAUUGCAAUGAGAUGUCAAACUUCAAGUUAAGGUGGUAUGAAAAAGAGAUUUGGUGGUCUGCUUGUGAGAUUUGGACAAACUCCACACUCCUUAUUCCGGCAUGGAUGGCUUUUUUUUGACAUGUGCACAGUGGCUAGACUAGACACAACUCAGUGAGAAUGUUGUCAUCCUCCACAGCUCAGCUCUGUGGACGCAGGUGGGUCCACAGCCUUCAUCCACGCUAACUUUAGCGUUCCUGUUGUGGAGGAACGGCCAAGGAGAUGGGGACACUCUGCAUGCUGGCUGCCCUGUGCUUGUUGGGGAUAAAUGGGUGGCUAACAAAUGGAUACAUGAGUACGGCCAGGAGUUCCAGAGACGCUGCAGCCCCAAUCCUGAGGAGUGAGAAGAGAGAAAGCAGCUGCUGGGACCGCUUGGAGUACAAGAACCAGCCUCCACAAUGGAGCCGUGCGCACCACGCAGGCAGAGAGGGAGGGAAUGAGAGAGGGAGCAAGAGAGGGCAUGCGAGAACGCUUGAGGCUGGGGGAGAGGAAGGCAGCCAAAGUGCAGCCUGCAUCUGUGAUUGGAGCUUCAGGCACAAGGGAACGAGGAGCACAGACACUGUUGGAGGGGGCUGGAAUGGCAGGGGGCUGACUUGGUUUUGGGAAGGAGGAGGUGGUGGGGGUGGAGGAGGGCAUUUGGCAAUCAGCCCCAAAAGCAGAGUGGCCUCUUGCUCCCACUCCCCAGUCAGUCCCUGCUGGAGCAGAGCUCUCUCUGAGAGAGGCCUCUACACUCACACACUGGGCUGGUUUUAGUUAACGCUGCUAGGCUGUUUGGCUCCGGUGUCAGUUUGUUUGAAAAACAUUUUUUUUUAAGUAUAAUGCAGCCUUUUGAAAACUCAUACACUGAAUCUGUCAGGAUACGCUUCACAUGGACUGAUCUCAUUAGCACAGCGCUAAUCUUAUCUUAUCUCUUAUCUUAUCUUUGUGGGCUAUACUCGGCCUUGUCUCAGGAUGGUAAGUUGGUGGUUGAAGAUAUCCCUCUAGUGGUGUGGGGGCUGUGCUUUGGCAAAGUGGGUGGGGUUAUAUCCUUCCUGUUUGGCCCUGUCCGGGGGUGUCCUCAGAUGGGGCCACAGUGUCUCCUGACCCCUCCUGUCUCAGCCUCCAGUAUUUAUGCUGCAGUAGUUUAUGUGUCGGGGGGCUAGGGUCAGUUUGUUAUAUCUGGAGUACUUCUCCUGUCCUAUUCGGUGUCCUGUGUGAAUCUAAGUGUGCGUUCUCUAAUUCUCUCCUUCUCUCUUUCUUUCUCUCUCUCGGAGGACCUGAGCCCUAGGACCAUGCCCCAGGACUACCUGACAUGAUGACUCCUUGCUGUCCCCAGUCCACCUGGCCAUGCUGCUGCUCCAGUUUCAACUGGCCUGGGCCCUAGGACCAUGUCCCAGGACUACCUGACAUGAGGACUCCUUGCUGUCCCCAGUCCACCUGGCCAUGCUCCUGCUCCAGUUUCAACUGUUCUGCCUUACUAUUAUUCAACCAUGCUGGUCAUUUAUGAACAUUUGAACAUCUUGGCCACGUUCUGUUAUAAUCUCCACCCGGCACAGCCAGAAGAGGACUGGCCACCCCACAUAUGCUCUCUCUAAUUCUCUCUUUCUUUCUCUCUCUCGGAGGACCUGAGCCCUAGGACCGUGCCCCAGGACUACCUGACAUGAUGGCUCCUUGCUGUCCCCAGUCCACCUGGCC